GAAGAGAGAAAAGCUGAGAGCAUCUAAGCACGAAACUUGCCCCGACAUGAGUUCUCCCUAACCCUUUAAGGGGCAUGAAGGAAAGUUGAAGACGACGAAGUUGAUAGGCCGGGUGUGUAAGCGCAGCGAUGCGUUGAGCUAACCGGGACUAAUGAACCGGGAGGCUUAACCUUACAACGCCGAGGAUGUUUUG
rnacentral:rRNA from 1 species